rnacentral:rRNA from 1 species
UACGGAGGGUGCGAGCGUUGUCCGGAAUCAUUGGGCGUAAAGGGCGCGUAGGUGGCCCGGUUCAGUUCGUGGUGAAAGCGCGGGCUCAACCCUGCGUCGGCCAUGAAUACUGCCGCGGCUGGAGCACUGUAGAGGCAGAUGGAAUUCCGGGUGUAGCGGUGGAAUGCGUAGAGAUCCGGAAGAACACCGGUGGCGAAGGCGGUCUGCUGG